UACGUAGGGUGCGAGCGUUGUCCGGAAUUAUUGGGCGUAAAGAGCUCGUAGGCGGCCUGUCGCGUCGGAUGUGAAAGCCCGGGGCUUAACCCCGGGUCUGCAUUCGAUACGGGCAGGCUAGAGUGUGGUAGGGGAGAUCGGAAUUCCUGGUGUAGCGGUGAAAUGCGCAGAUAUCAGGAGGAACACCAAUAGCGAAGGCAGCUCGCUGGGACGGUAUUGACGCUGAGGCGCGAAAGCGUGGGGAGCAAACAGG
rnacentral:rRNA from 1 species